GACGAACGCUGGCGGCGUGCUUAACACAUGCAAGUCGAACGGGCCUUGUCCCCUUUUUUUUUGGGGGUGGGGUUAGUGGCGAACGGGUGAGUAACACGUGAGUAACCUGCCCCUCACUUCUGGAUAACCGCUUGAAAGGGUGGCUAAUACGGGGUGUUCUGGCCUGCUCGCAUGGGUGGGUUUGGAAAGAUUCGACCGGUUUUGGUUGUUUUGGUGGGGGAUGGGCUCGCGGCCUAUCAGCUUGUUGGUGGGGUGAUGGCCUGCCAAGGCUUUGACGGGUAGCCGGCCUGAGAGGGUGGGCGGUCACACUGGGACUGAGACACGGCCCAGACUCCUACGGGAGGCAGCAGGGGGGAAUAUUGCACAAUGGGCGCAAGCCUGAUGCAGCGACGCCGCGUGAGGGAUGGAGGCCUUCGGGUUGUGAACCUCUUUCGCCAGUGAAGAAGGUCCUGCUCUUGGGGGUGGGGUUGACGGUAGCUGGGUUAAUGAAGCGCCGGCUAACUACGU
rnacentral:rRNA from 1 species